UGAGAAGUUGUCAAAUUCUUUCAGUAAAAGUCUCAGGGAGGUUUCAUCUCCUCUACAAUACAUCAAGAGAUCAUCUGCAAAACAAAUAUGAGUUAGUUGCAAUUUGGAGCAUUUGGGGUGGAAGUUGAAGUCUGGAUUCUUGUUCAGCUGCUUCAAUUGUCUGUUGAGAUAUUCCAUGACUAAGACAAAUAGAUAGGGGGA
rnacentral:lncRNA from 1 species